ACAUGCCUACAACAUAGUGUUAAUGCACCAGAUCACAUUAGAACUCCGCAGUUAAGCACACUCAUGCUAGAGUAGUACUGGGAUGGGUGAUCGCCCGGGAAGUCCUAGUGUUUUACAUGCC
rnacentral:rRNA from 1 species